GUUAAUUGUUUGAAUUACUUUCCAAUCAAUAAUUAAUCUAAAAAUCUUUUCAAUUUUGUUCCUUUACAAAUAACAAGUGACAACAAGUGAAAGAAACGACAACAAGUCAAUGGAUAUUCAUCAUUCUCAUUGUGUUUUUGUUCAAUUAAUUGGAUCAAUUAAAUGGUUCACUUAAACUUCAAUCGUGUAUUUGUUGUCUCAGUCUAAGCUUUUUGGAUGGAUACGUUUACCUAGUCGCUGAAUUUUAAAUUUGGCAAAUCAGGAUUAAAAAUGACGAUUAAAUAAAUUAUCGCUGCCGCUGUAAGGUCAUUUCUCCAUCGGUCAGGAUACGUUUGGAUAAUAUUGACAAUAUUAUCAUGUAGAAUUGGAUCCAAUCGGUAAAUUUCCCUCCUAUCAACUUUUUUACCUGAGGCCUUAAAUAUUGUCAAGAAACAAAAGAACUUGUUAACUAAUUGGCCUAAGAGUUACAAAGGAAAAUAGAAAUGAAAAUAAAUGUUAACACUCACGUUCCAACUAUCGGUUAGAUGAUCGUAGGUGAUGAUACUCUUCAUGGCGAUUGUAUCAAAAAAGACAUUG